AGUGAACGCUGGCGGUAGGCCUAACACAUGCAAGUCGAACGGCAGCACAGUAAGAGCUUGCUCUUACGGGUGGCGAGUGGCGGACGGGUGAGGAAUACAUCGGAAUCUACUUUUUCGUGGGGGAUAACGUAGGGAAACUUACGCUAAUACCGCAUACGACCUACGGGUGAAAGCAGGGGAUCUUCGGACCUUGCGCGAUUGAAUGAGCCGAUGUCGGAUUAGCUAGUUGGCGGGGUAAAGGCCCACCAAGGCGACGAUCCGUAGCUGGUCUGAGAGGAUGAUCAGCCACACUGGAACUGAGACACGGUCCAGACUCCUACGGGAGGCAGCAGUGGGGAAUAUUGGACAAUGGGCGCACGCCUGAUCCAGCCAUACCGCGUGGGUGAAGAAGGCCUUCGGGUUGUAAAGCCCUUUUGUUGGGAAAGAAAAGCAGCAGGUUAAUACCCAGCUGUUCUGACGGUACCCAAAGAAUAAGCACCGGCUAACUUCGUG
rnacentral:rRNA from 1 species